UACGGAGGGUGCGAGCGUUGUCCGGAAUUACUGGGCGUAAAGAGCUCGUAGGUGGUUUGUCGCGUUGUUCGUGAAAACUCACAGCUUAACUGUGGGCGUGCGGGCGAUACGGGCAGACUGGAGUACUGCAGGGGGAGACUGGAAUUCCUGGUGUAGCGGUGGAAUGCGCAGAUAUCAGGAGGAACACCGGGUGGCGAAGGCGGCCCCGCUGGGGCAGGAAAGGGG
rnacentral:rRNA from 1 species